rnacentral:rRNA from 1 species
UAAGGAAUAUUGGUCAAUGGUCGCAAGACUGAUCCAGCCAUGCCGCGUGCAGGAAGACGGCCCUAUGGGUUGUAAACUGCUUUUGUACCAGAGAAACCCUAUCUACGUGUAGAUAGCUGAUAGUAUGGUAAGAAUAAGCAUCGGCUAACUUCGUGCCAGCAGCCGCGGUAAGACGAAGGAUGCAAGCGUUAUCCGGAUUCAUUGGGUUUAAAGGGUGCGUAGGCGGGCUUGUAAGUCAGUGGUGAAAUCUCUCAGCUUAACUGAGAAACUGCCAUUGAUACUGCAGGCCUAGAGUAUAGAUGACGUUGGCGGAAUAUGACAUGUAGUGGUGAAAUACUUAGAUAUGUCAUAGAACACCGAUUGCGAAGGCAGCUAACGAAACUAUAACUGACGCUGAGGCACGAAAGUGCGGGGAGCAAACA